rnacentral:rRNA from 1 species
GACGAACGCUGGCGGCGUGCUUAACACAUGCAAGUCGAGCGGUAAGGCCCUUUCGGGGGUACACGAGCGGCGAACGGGUGAGUAACACGUGGGUGACCUGCCCUCAGCUCUGGGAUAAGCCUGGGAAACCGGGUCUAAUACUGGAUAUGACUCCAUGACGCAUGUUGUGGGGUGGAAAGCCUUGUGCGGCUGGGGAUGGGCCCGCGGCCUAUCAGCUUGUUGGUGGGGUGAUGGCCUACCAAGGCGACGACGGGUAGCCGGCCUGAGAGGGCGACCGGCCACACUGGGACUGAGACACGGCCCAGACUCCUACGGGAGGCAGCAGUGGGGAAUCUUGCGCAAUGGGCGAAGGCCUGACGCAGCGACGCCGCGUGAGGGAUGACGG